rnacentral:rRNA from 1 species
CCCUCCUGCCACAGCAUUUCCAUAAUUCUUCACCAAUCCUCAGACCUCCAAAACUAGGCAGAGUAGGCCCUGGUUAGCACUUGGAUUGGAGACGUCUUUGGAAUACUAGCUUCUGUAGGAA